GCCCAAAAACUUCCUCUCAUCUCCCAAGCAUCUCACCUCUCCUCUCCACCAUCUGCUUGCCGCCUGCUCAACCUUACAUGGUUCCAGCCCUAAUCGACGAACCCUAAACCCUAAUCAAACAUCAUGGUCCCUAAACACAUUUGAAGAGAGACCCUGUAGAAGGUGCGAGGACAGCCAUGGGUGUCAUCGUUCUCGAUCUUUAUCGCGGCUUCAGAAUCAGCCCCUUUUAUCUCGGGAUUAAGAAUGUCCAACCCUUUAUCACAUUCUAGAUUUUAUCCUCUAAUUAAUGUUGCUAAUGCUAAAGCUGAAAACGCAUCGAUGAUAAGUGCGACGCUUUGUGCUCAAGGUGCGCUUGACCCGAAGAAGGUUGAAGGGAAGAUUUUGUUGUGCUUAAGGUGAGGCAAUAUGGGUCGGCUUGACAAGGGCAUAGUGGCUGCACGUGCUGGUGCUUCUAACAUGAUUCUUUGUAACGCUGACGCCAAUAAAGAUGAAAUAAUAGCUGAUCUUCAUGUGCUACCAGCGACACACAUCACUAUGCUGACGGGCUUUGUCUUUACGCCUACCUUAACUCUACCAUAUAACUAAGGUGUAUGUGAAGUUGUUUUCUCUCAUGGGAAGUAAAUGGAACAAGGCAACGCAGUUGAACAACUUUAUUUUAUAUGUCAUGGUGAGCUGUGAUCAAUUGCAGAACCAUGAAGCAUACACUGUAAAUGUGGUUGCUAGUUUUUUAUCUUCAUACAAGGAUCACUUGGAGCCUGCUAUUGCCAAUUUGAGGAAGCUGCUACAGAGCUUGAAAGUGUACAUUGUGAUUGCUUCAUACUUCAUUAUACUCCCUUUAUACAUUAAAAGUGUCCUAAUAAGAAUUAUGAAGCAUUGGUGAAAGUCAUCUUAUAAGUUGCAUUAGUACACUAAAUAUUCCAAAACGCACAAAAUCAUUUUAUCUAGAGUAAAAUGCCAUUUUCAUCCUUGGGGUUUGGUCAGUUUUCGACUUUCUUCCAAAGGUUUGUUUUUUCGUAUUUGGGUUCAAAAGGUUUGAAAUGUUGCCAUUUUCAUCUGGCUCAUUAACUCAAUCCAUUUUUCUCCGUUAAGUCACAUGUAUUUCUGUCUUUUUUGUUAACUUAAAGGGCAAUUCAGUCUAGCGGAUUCGGUCAGGGCUAUUUUAACUGCUUGUACAUAAAAUGAAAAAUACCGAAUUGCCCUUUAAGUUAACAAUAAGGCAAAAGUACCUAUGACUUAAAGGAGAAAAAUGGAUGGAGUUAACGAGCCGGAUGAAAAUGGAAAGAUUUCAAACCAUUUGAAUCCAGAUACGGAAAAACAAACCUUUGGGCGAAAGUCGCAAAACUGGCGAACCUCAGGGAUGACAUUUUACUCAAGUAUUUAACCGAUUUGAUCAUGAGUAUAGCAUAAUGCAAUAGGGCUUAUAUGGUAAUGUUCUGAUAAUGUGGAAUAGCAUAAUGUAAUAAGUUUGAAUAACUGAUAGUUUACUAGAGUGCAUCCCAACUUAAUAUAUGGCAGACGCAAGUUUGUAAGCUUUUAGAUUUUCCAUCUCUUGGUCCAGACUGAUCCCAAGUAUGUUACCAUCCAAGGUUUCAUUUAA